rnacentral:rRNA from 1 species
UCGGGAAUUUUGCGCAAUGGACGAAAGUCUGACGCAGCAACGCCGCGUGAGGGAUGACGGCCUUCGGGUUGUAAACCUCUUUUGUCAGGGACGAUGAUGACGGUACCUGACGAAUAAGCCACGGCUAACUACGUGCCAGCAGCCGCGGUAAUACGUAGGUGGCAAGCGUUGUCCGGAUUUACUGGGCGUAAAGAGCGCGCAGGCGGUCGUUCAAGUCGCGUGUGAAAGCCCCCGGCUCAACUGGGGAGGGUCACGCGAUACUGAUCGACUCGAAGGCAGGAGAGGGUAGUGGAAUUCCCGGUGUAGUGGUGAAAUGCGUAGAUAUCGGGAGGAACACCAGUGGCGAAGGCGACUACCUGGCCUGUUUCUUGACGCUGAGGCGCGAAAGCUAGGGGAGCAAACGGGAUUAGAUACCCCGGUAGUCCUAGCCGUAAACGAUGGACACUAGGUGUUGGUGGUAUCAACCCCGCAGUGCCGAAGCUAACGC